AGCGCCUCCGGCUCCGUGCCAGAGGUGCUUUUGCACAUCCUUCAGCACUAUGUAAAUGCACUAUCUGGUACGACAGCCUGUCGCGU
rnacentral:pre_miRNA from 1 species